rnacentral:rRNA from 1 species
AUUGAACGCUGGCGGCAGGCCUAACACAUGCAAGUCGAACGGUAACAGGAAGCAGCUUGCUGCUUCGCUGACGAGUGGCGGACGGGUGAGUAAUGUCUGGGAAGCUGCCUGAUGAGGGGGAUAACUACUGGAAACGGUAGCUAAUACCGCAUAAUGUCGCAAGACCAAAGAGGGGGACCUUCGGGCCUCUUGCCAUCGGAUGUGCCCAGAUGGGAUUAGCUUGUUGGUGGGGUAACGGCUCACCAAGGCGACGAUCCCUAGCUGGUCUGAGAGGAUGACCAGCCACACUGGAACUGAGACACGGUCCAGACUCCUACGGGAGGCAGCAGUGGGGAAUAUGGCACAAUGGGCGCAAGCCUGAUGCAGCCAUGCCGCGUGUAUGAAGAAGGCCUUCGGGUUGUAAAGUACUUUCAGCGGGGAGGAAGGGAGUAAAGUUAAUACCUUUGCUCAUUGACGUUACCCGCAGAAGAAGCACCGGCUAACUCCGU